AUUGUAGCACUGUAAUAAAUUUCCAAAAAUCAAGAAAAAUGGAUCCAUUUUCAAUUCCCCUCAUUACUACGAAUGAACAAUUAUCCUCUUAUUUCCUUGGUUGUGCAGCUCUUACGGGAAUUGUUUGUACCAUAGUGAUGUUGUGCUGUUUUUAUUAUUUGAUCCGAAAUGAACAAAGGCAAGAACGCGCCAUGGAAAUGCUGUUUCCACAUGUUGACAAUAUAUGAAAAUGUUUUAUCUACGUGUUGAACAAUAUUAUAUUUUUGCAUUUCGCAGAAUAUGGAAAAAUAUUAAUAUUUACAUACACAAUUUAAGGUUAGGUGAAGUAAAUGUGAAACAAAUGAAACUUCAAAGGUUUUCAUCUGUUUCACAUAACUGUUAUGUGAUGGAUUCUAUCUGCACAUUUCUUUUAUUUUAUUAUUAUUAUAAAUAAAUAAUCUCACCAGUUUAUAACAAAUUGUAUGUGUUUUUAGCAAAUGUUUAAUCAUGUUUAUUUUAAUGUAUUACAUAAUUUAAAUAAAAGUUAACUUAAAUAUAAACCAAA